rnacentral:lncRNA from 11 species
CACACACACACACACACAGAUUUAUUCAGUAUGUUCGGCUUUGCCCAUUGGGAUCUAUUUUUAAUCUUCUUGGAUUCCCCCACUUUUGGCUGUCUAACACAUGAGAGUUCCACUUUUCUGCCCCUUUUGAAAGCACUAAGGAGGGAUGAAAGAGAUAGUCAAGCUGAUUGACACAUCUGACUAAGUGGGUUAAGCAGUGAGAAGCUAUAUUAUUUAUAAGAAAUAACUUAUGCACUCUAGUUGCCGAGAGGAGACUGAGAAAUAGGGAACAAUUAAUGUGCUCCUGUUAUCAUUAGUUUCACAUGCUGUUCUCUGUUCAGGCACAAAAUGGACCUGUGGUCUAGUUCUUGGCAUGCUGUGAUGGAUAACCUAAACAACUGUAUAUAAAAAAGUGUCAAGAAAGGAGAAGCCCUUGAGGAAGUUUGCCCAGUUUCAGUUCCUUCUUAUAGUACUAAACUUACAGUGAGAACUCACUUUUCUUUGCCAUAAAGAGCUCCAGUAAAAUCUUUGGCACAACUCUGAUGGUGAUUCUCAAGGCUGUGCAAAUGGAAAAGAAUCCAUCAACAUUGGACAAACAGGAGCCAGAUUUACAGCUACUGGACCUGCAUGGACGCUGGCAUUCAAGUAAGUGUGAAUCUCAACAUAGUUACAUACAAUAUGGUGGGGAAAUUCUUCGCAGUGGGCUGUUAAACUGCUUAUAUUUUAUUUUGGGACAGAUGGCAACAAAUCCCCGACCACUUGAAUAUUUUAAUAUUAAACAGCACCGGGAUUGCAUCGUAUUUAAAAUACGUAUAGUUAGCUUCUCCAUCAUGUGUCUGACCCCAAAAAAGGCCAUCUGGAGAACAGCAAGAACUGGUUUAUGGUCUAUAAAUUCAUACUGGAAAGAGAUCUUGGGUCAGCAUUUUCCAGCACUAGCUUCAAUUUCCAAGCAGUCUUUAGGGGCAAUGCUAUCUCUGGAGCUCUGCAGUAAUAUGUGUCGAAAGUGAUUUAAACGUCUAGUCCAUAAAAUAUGUCUCUCACUAGACAUAGAAAAAAUGUCCAAAUGUUGCAAUUGCGAUAAUACGUGUACUGGAGAGCAUUGUUCUGCCAACAUCAACAAUAAAACGAUCAUUUCUAUACAGAUUUUAUCAGAAAAUGGAUUCUGUUCCUUGAGCUUUUAAUCCUGGGUAUGCUUUAUAACAAUGAGAUGAUAUUUGGUUUUAUAUUUAUAAUUUUGGCUGUGUUUCUUAAAAUGCAGCCCUUAUUAGGAAUAAUAAUUCAGACCUAUAAAACAGAGAGAACAACUAAGCACUUUAGCCAGAUACUGCAGUAGACAAUAGUUGUAUGAAUGAGAUUAAAACGUACAAUAUUAUUGCCUAUCAAAUGCAACAUGUAUUUAUACUUAUGAAAGGUGGCGACUGCUUUCAUAUAUUACAUUAGAACAACUGGUAUUUUUCUUGAAUCCCACAAUCUCUAAUACAAUGUCGGCAGAUUUUUGGAAGGGAUAGUGUAUUACAGAUAGCUGGUCAUUUUCUUUUCUUUUUCAGCUUUCCAAACAGAGAACUAUGAAAAAAUUGUUCCGUGAUUGAGCAGAACUGAUUUGCACAGCAGGUGAAAAAAUAAAAUAGCCCCAAACCAGCAUGGCUACUAACUCUCUCACUACACACAUCAAUGCACCAUUAAUAAAAACACUACUUACAUCUGCUUUGGUGUUUUGCUGCCCACUCUGUACAAUACACAAACAAUUCCAGAAAUUCUCUGUAUGCCUUGGAAAUAUAAUGUUAAAAAGUGGCAACAGUGCUAUGACAUCAAUAAUGUAUGAUCCCAUAUUAUAUUGAACUUUUAGUUGAUGCUUACCUGGUAUGACACAACUGUGGUUGCUAGUUUGUCACAAAUGUUAUAGAAACAAAUGCUGAUGAAAAUGUGGAAUACAGUCUAACUA